CGAGGAGACCCACGGAUCAUGCUGGGAAAGGACGUGUGCCACGACCUCACCUCAUUUUGACAGGGCGAAUGCCACCCCACCGGGGGGAGGAGCGGCUGAACGUGUUCGCUUCAUUAAACCGUCGUCCUCCGCACCGACCGGGCAAUAGGUGCAAGUCACGUCUCGUCGAAAAGAGAUCCCUGAAAAUCCUGUUAUAGAGACGAAGAAGCAAAAUCUCCUCCACUCAUACACCGAAGUACUUCGCACUAUGCCGGCUGCUAGCUUUGAUCUUCGAGCGCCGUCUAACAGUUUCUCCCGGGAGUUUCUGUUCAAACUUCUUCAACAGAGGGGCUUUGGCACCAGAUGGAUUGCAUGGGUACGUUCUUUGCUGGUUUCCUCAACUUUGGCACUAGUCAUAAACAACUCCAUCGGAUCGUGGUUCAUUAAUCGAAGAGGUUAAAGCAAGGUCUGAAAAUUUCAGAUUAGUUGGAGAACACCUUCGGUGAAAUACUUGGCUGUCAGAUCUCUAAACUACCUAUCCAGUAUCUUGGUUUAUCUCUCCAUCAUUCCACUCUUCGACGUCGAGACUGGUCCUUCAUUAUUGAAAAAAUCUCAAAACAGACAUUGAGUUGGAAGAG